rnacentral:rRNA from 1 species
AUGGCUUCUCUCGUCUUCCUCCUCCUAUUCGGCCAAAUCCUACUCUGCACAGCCGUCGACACCAUCACCUCCACCACACCGUUGUCCGGGUCACAGCAGAUUGUGUCCCAGGGCAGCAAGUUCACCUUGGGCUUCUACUCCCCACCGCAAGGUAACACCACCUCUAGCAAUUACUACAUAGCCAUAUGGUACAGCAACAUACCACUGGUGACCACGGUGUGGACGGCAACCACCGAUGUGCCAGUGUCUGACCCGACCACCGCCUCCUUGGAGAUCGCCAGCGACGGCAACCUUGUCCUCCUUGAUCAAGCCAAGAACCAGCUGCUAUGGUCGACCAAUGAAAGUAUAGCCUCCAACUCCACCAUGGCCACCAUCAGAGAUAGCGGUAGCCUCGACCUCACUGACGCCUCGAAUUCAUCGAUAGUUUACUGGCGAAGCAUAGACCAUCCAACAAACACCUGGCUUCCAGGGGGAAAACUCGGGCGGAAUAAGAUCACCAGUGUGAGCCAGAGGCUUGUUGCUUGGAAGAACAUGGCAGACCCGUCUCCAGGGUUGUUCACGCUGGAGCUGGACCCAAAUGGCACACCACAGUUUUUCAGCCAGUGGAAUUCGUCCAUAACCUACUGGUCCAGCGGCCCUUGGAAUGGCUAUAACUUCAGCUUUUCACCGGAGAUGACAACCACUUACGCAUACGAAUCCCGAUUCAUCAACAACGACACAGAAGGCUAUCUGUUCUACUCGCUCAAGGAUGUCUCGGUUGUCUCGCGGUUCAUCAUUGACGUCGGCGGACAGAUCAAGCAGCUGAGAUGGUUGGGAUACUCACAGCAGUGGGUCGUGUUCUGGUCCCAGCCAUGGUCACAGUGUGAGGUGUAUGCGCUCUGUGGGGCAUACGGCAGCUGCAACCUCAAUGCCCUGCCCUACUGCAACUGUGUCCAGGGGUUCAGCCAGAAGGUUCAGAGUGACUGGGACCUCCAAGAUUACAGUGGUGGGUGCAAGAGGAAUACACCAUUGCAGUGCCAGACCAACUCAACUUCUGCACAGGCUCCAUCUGAUAAGUUCCAUGUCAUGGAAGAUGUGCGCCUACCUGAUAAUGCUCAGGAUGCAGUGGCUACAAGCUCUCAGGAAUGUGAGGUGGUUUGUCUUAAUAGUUGCUUUUGCACUGCUUACACUUACAAUUACACUGGGUGCUUUGUUUGGCAUGGGGACCUGAUUACUCUCCAAGAUCAGAAGAAAACAACGAUCAUUGGCUCAGUUGUUGGCGGACUUGCUGCAGUUUUGAUAAUCCUUGCAGUUGUGUUGUUCUUCAUAUCUCAGAAGUUCCGCCGAGACAACUCUUCGGAUAUCCGGAAAUGCUGGGGCAUCGACUCUCUUCUUCUCGAUCUAUCAACACUAAGAGUGGCUACAAAUGACUUCAGCGAAGGAAAUAUGCUUGGUAAAGGAGGUUUUGGAAUGGUUCAUAAGGGAGUCCUACCUGACGGUAAACAAAUAGCAAUAAAAAGGCUAUGUAAGAGUUCCAGACAAGGAAUAGGGGAACUGAAAAGUGAACUAGUCCUGGUUGCUAAGCUUCGCCACAGGAAUCUUGUGAGCCUCAUUGGUGUUUGUUUGGAAGAACAAGAGAAAAUACUUGUGUAUGAAUUUAUGCCCAACAGAAGCCUUGAUACCAUUCUUUUUGAUUCUGAGAAACGCAAAGACCUAGACUGGGGAAGGAGAUUCAAGAUUAUCAGUGGAGUUGCUAGGGGAUUACAAUAUCUCCACGAAGAUUCUCAAUUGAAGAUAGUUCAUCGGGACCUGAAAGCAAGCAAUAUUUUGUUGGACUUUGAUUACAACCCUAAAAUUUCUGACUUUGGCUUAGCAAAGAUAUUUGGAGGGGAUCAAUCAGAAGAUGUCACUAGACGUAUUGCUGGGACAUAUGGAUACAUGUCGCCUGAAUAUGCCAUGCAUGGUCAAUACUCAGCAAAGUCAGACGCGUUCAGCUUCGGUGUUUUGGUUUUGGAGAUAGUCACAGGAAGAAGAAACAAUGGCUCCUGCAACUCCGAGCAAUAUAUUUAUCUUGUAAAUCUUGUAUGGGAGUACUGGACCAGGGGAAAUGUCAUCGAGCUGAUCGAUCCAUUGGUUAGCAAAGAACCUUCUCCCAUUGACCAGGUUCUGAAGUGCAUCCAGAUCGGGCUACUGUGUGUGCACAACAGACCUGAAGAUAGGCCGACAAUGUCGUCGGUAAAUGUCAUGCUUAGCAGCCACAAUGUCCCUCUCCCUUCUGUUUCCGUUCCAGCCUUCUGUGACGGAUUACAUGCAUACAGUGAUAAUUCGAAAGUGGCGUCUUUGAAUGGAAUGACCAUCACGAAGCUCGAGCCAAGAUGA